AGUGAACGCUGGCGGCAGGCCUAAUACAUGCAAGUCGAACGGCAGCACAGUGUAGCUUGCUCCAUGGGUGGCGAGUGGCGGACGUGUGAGGAAUACAUUGGAAUCUGCCCAGUCGUGGGGGAUAACGUAGGGAAACUUACGCUAAUACCGCAUGCGCCCUUCGGGGGAAAGCCGGGGACCUUCUUUCCUUUCUCGUUUGGAUGAGCCCAUGUUCGAUUAGCUAGUUGGCGGGGUAAAGGCCCACCAAGGCGACGAUCGAUAGCUGGUCUGAGAGGAUGAUCAGACAAAGGGGAACUGAGACACGGACCAGACUAAUACGGGAGGUAGCAGAAGGGAAUAUUGGACAAUGGGGGCAAGCAUGAUCCAGCCAUGCCGCGUGAGAGAAGAAGGACCUAGGGUUGUAAAGCUCUUUUGUCCGGGAAGAAAAGCAUCGGGCUAAUACCUCGGUGUACUGACGGUACCGGAAGAAUAAGCACCGGCUAACUUCGUG
rnacentral:rRNA from 1 species